rnacentral:rRNA from 1 species
GUAGGUGGCAAGCGUUGUCCGGAAUUAUUGGGGCGUAAAGCGCGCGCAGGCGGUUCUUUAAGUCUGAUGUGAAAGCCCCAGGCUCAACCGUGGAGGGUCAUUGGAAACUGGGGAACUUGAGUACAGAAGAGGAAAGCGGAAUUCCACGUGUAGCGGUGAAAUGCGUAGAGAUGUGGAGGAACACCAGUGGCGAAGGCGGCUUUCUGGUCUGUAACUGACGCUGAGGCGCGAAAGCGUGGGGAGCAAACAGGACUAGAUACCCUGGUAGUCCACGCCGUAAACGAUGAGUGCUAAGUGUUAGGGGUUUCCGCCCCUUAGUGCUGCAGCUAACGCAUUAAGCACUCCGCCUGGGGAGUACGGCCGCAAAGGCUGA